UACAGAGGUCUCAAGCGUUGUUCGGAUUCAUUGGGCGUAAAGGGUGCGUAGGCGGCGCGGUAAGUCGGGUGUGAAAUCUUGGAGCUUAACUCCGAAACUGCAUUCGAUACUGCCGUGCUUGAGGACUGGAGAGGAGACUGGAAUUCUCGGUGUAGCGGUGAAAUGCGUAGAUAUCGAGAGGAACACCUGCGGCGAAGGCGGGUUGCUGGGCUGACACUGACGCUGGAUGCGCGAAAGCUAGGGGAGCGAACGGG
rnacentral:rRNA from 1 species